rnacentral:lncRNA from 1 species
CUAAGACAGAGUGAACAAACUUAGCCACCUCUUCUCUAGUAUGUUCUUUGAUAAUCAUGGGAAGGGAUUAGGUUGCAUGUGAAAUUUUCAGACACCUAACAGCUGGAAGAGCCUCUGAGACUGUCUGUUUGCUUUUCACUUGUCUUUCGUGGCUUAGUCAUGCUAGUUCUUUAAUUAUCAAAGUUAUUUGUGUUUAAACAAUUUGUCUCUCUCUUCCUGUUUGAUCCUUCAGAGAUUCUUAAAAUGCAGCUGCUUAGAAACUGCUAUUUUUAUUGAAACACCUGAUGCAUUAAUAUACAGGGCCUUAUGUU